rnacentral:rRNA from 1 species
UACGAAGGGGGCGAGCGUUGUUCGGAUUUACUGGGCGUAAAGGGCGCGCAGGCGGUCAUUUUUGUCGAGUGCGGAAGCCCCGGGCUUAACCUGGGAACUGCGCUCGAAACGGGAUGACUAGAGAUCGGGAGAGGAGAGUGGAAUUCCCAGUGUAGAGGUGAAAUUCGUAGAUAUUGGGAAGAACACCGGUGGCGAAGGCGACUUCCUGGUCUGUUACUGACACUGAGGCACGAAAGCGUGGGGAGCAAACAGG